CAAUAUCAUGGUCAUUACAUUAUUUCUAUUUCAUGGUCAUUACAUUGCAACAUUCCUUUGAGGUUUCAAGGAAGACUUUGAUCCGUAUGAACUGUAAGGUUCCAAGAAAUGCCAACACACAUUAUUCAUGGACACAUUUUUUAGGCCAUUCUAGUGUUCAUCGAUUUUUAAGAACACUUCAAGAUAAGCUUGUUGUUUUCCUUUCUCACUAGUAUGCAUGAUUUCAUUUUUUACUG
rnacentral:lncRNA from 1 species